rnacentral:rRNA from 1 species
CAUCGAAAGCUUGCUUUUGAUGGGCGUCGACCGGCGCACGGGUGAGUAACGCGUAUCCAACCUGCCCACCACUUGGGGAUAACCUUGCGAAAGUAAGACUAAUACCCAAUGACGUCUCUAGAAGACAUCUGAAGGAGAUUAAAGAUUUAUCGGUGAUGGAUGGGGAUGCGUCUGAUUAGCUUGUUGGCGGGGUAACGGCCCACCAAGGCUACGAUCAGUAGGGGUUCUGAGAGGAAGGUCCCCCACAUUGGAACUGAGACACGGUCCAAACUCCUACGGGAGGCAGCAGUGAGGAAUAUUGGUCAAUGGACGAGAGUCUGAACCAGCCAAGUAGCGUGCAGGAUGACGGCCCUAUGGGUUGUAAACUGCUUUUAUAAGGGAAUAAAGUGAGUCUCGUGAGACUUUUUGCAUGUACCUUAUGAAUAAGGACCGGCUAAUUCCGUGCCAGCAGCCGCGGUAAUACGGAAGGUCCGGGCGUUAUCCGGAUUUAUUGGGUUUAAAGGGAGCGUAGGCCGGAGAUUAAGCGUGUUGUGAAAUGUAGAUGCUCAACAUCUGAACUGCAGCGCGAACUGGUUUCCUUGAGUACGCACAAAGUGGGCGGAAUUCGUGGUGUAGCGGUGAAAUGCUUAGAUAUCACGAAGAACUCCGAUUGCGAAGGCAGCUCACUGGAGCGCAACUGACGCUGAAGCUCGAAAGUGCGGGUAUCGAACAGGAUUAGAUACCCUGGUAGUCCGCACGGUAAACGAUGGAUGCCCGCUGUUGGUCUGAAUAGGUCAGCGGCC